GAGCGAUCCCCGUCGCGCGCCAGGCAGCCAGGCCCGGCCCGGAGCCCGCGCCACGUGGGGGCGGAGCUGCCCGCGGCCACCACUUCCUGCGAGCCGGGGAUACCCCUCCCGGACGUCACGGAGGAGCCGAGGCGGCGGUGGCGGCCCCGGGGCUCAUCCUGCACUUGCAUCACGGGUGCAGCAGCAGCUGCUCUGCUUCUUUGUGGCUUUUUUCCCCUGUUGAGUAACUGCUUUGUUCACUGAAAAUACCAUGACGGGCCAGUGUGAUCACCAGCUCCCAGACCUCAAAGAAAGUGAAGCUGUCAGGCAAGAAGAGGGAGACCCCCCUCCCCUCCGCACACCCGGGCCGGCGGCUGGUUUAUUCGCCUGACAAACUGCAAACUUCAGAAGCAAGCCCCCUCACCCCUUUGAAAUUUCUGUGACAUCUAAUGUUCAACACAAACAGGAAUACUACUGAUCGGUCACUACUACUUAUCUCGGAGGCUGCUGUGAAGCUACCCAACAUCGAAUAAGGCCACACUCAGCUUAGGCACCAAGAGACAUUCCUGUCCCUCUCCCGUUCGAGUGAAAGUUUCUAAUGAAGCCAUUCCACCUCUCUGUGAACUUACUGAAAGGCCUUGCAUCAAGUGUGGCUCUCCCUAAUUACAUAGAAAACAACUUCUGGAGUUCAUAACUAUGUAUCAUACUUGGUGAGUGAUGGGAGAGGAGGGAUUCGAUGGGGUCACCACUAGAAAAAUGAGACAACUGCAGUGUCACCGGAGUGGAAAUUACUUGAAAGACUUUUUCUCCCUAUCAAGAUUGGCAAGUGUAUUUCGGACCCCAAGUCCGUGGCUAGGCCACACCGACUAGUUGUGGCUGUCACUCGCGUUGUACCCAAACUUAGUUUGUUCUCUUUUUCAAGACAGGGUUCUAGAUGGUUGGCAUGGGGAA